AUGGGAGGCGGGAGGCGGGGCUGUGCGUGGUGGCGUCAGACGGCAAUUUGGCGCGAAUUCGGGGUUGGGAGCAGGAGGGGCGGGUGUAUUCUAAUACCGUUCUUAUUCUGGAGCGGCUCGAGCUCUGGGGGGGACGUUAGCUGCGCGUGCAGCAGGGCCAGCGUUUGAACUGGAGCUCGUGCAAGUCCAGAGGAGCAGGAGGAGGGGCAGCAAGGGGGCUUCCCCAGGGUAGGGAUGGAGUCAGGAGGGGCAGCAGCGCCGGCCCGUGCGCGACGUGACUCACUCUGACUCUGCAAUUCUCGCCGUCUGCAUUUGGCCGAAACUGGCUUGCUGCUGAUGUAACUGUGUGUCAGCAACAGCCACCCGCUGGAGGGUCCCUUUUACCCACGGCCUGAUAAACUGGUUUAGCAGUGAGCCCGAGGCUGUGAUCUAUAAAUCAUCCUGACAGUUUAAAGGCUGCAAUUCUAGCCAGGGGACACCUCCAAUGCGCUUUCGAGAAGCGGCGCGCGGCCCGGUCUAAAUCUGUUUGACCGCAGCUUCGCCGCGUCUGAAUAACAUGUGGCUCAAUCGUCUGCUGCCCUUCAAAAUUAUCUGCUUGUGUACCCAAAGAGGAAGCACCGUGUGGUAUAAAGAGGCUAGCUUUCUCCGGGCGUCGCAGCCUCGCUCACCGCAAAGCUCAUUCAAGGCCCUCUGGGCAACUUUGCAUCAGUAAAAGCAAAAUUGCUGGCGCCAACAGUUAAAAAUAUUCGGCGGGGGGCCGCGGGUUAGCUGUGGCUACAUUAGAUUCCAGAGGCGCCCUGGUACAUGUAUCCUCCGAAGGAGGUUCUCCUCAGAGGCGAGCGUACGCGCUGGGAUUUUUAAAUGGCUUCCCCAGUUAAAAGGAAACAACUCGCAACCACCAUGAGAAGCAGGAGCAUCGCCCGGCCUGCGCAGACAAGAAUUCCCUGCGGCCAAACACUUCCACUGCGAAGGGAGGAGCAGAGCCGCCUCUCUCUCCCAGCAGCAGGGUGGUGGUGGUUGCGGUAGAGAAAGAUGGCCUUUGAGGAGGAAGAAAUAAAAAGGAGACUGGCUUUUCUUCGAAAAGGAGCGGGGCAUUUGAGUGUGAAUUUCAUCAAGCGUGUCAUCUUUCAGGACACGUUAAAGAGAGGGAAAGAGAAACUACUUGCAACACUGUCUUUUGAUGACUCCGUAGGUACUGCACUAUUUGUUUAUGGAAGACAAUCUUACUUGGCUACGAGUGAUCGCCAAAGAAGAAGAAUUUUAAGACAGCACCUGCACAUAAUGGUUAUGGGCUGUUCAUAUUUUGUAGGCUUCAUCUAUAAGAAACAUCAACUUGCUUACCGGUAUAUUAAAAUAGGUGGGAGACUGGAUGGAGAGCUGGCAGUGAGUGAGGGAUGUGAGUUAACCUGGCUUUUGAGUGUGAGGUGAAAUGUUGAGGAGCUCCGGUUGUGGUGAGAGUAUGAAUGCAGCUCACAAAUGUGAUUGGUGGGUAUUUGGUGAUUGUGCCAUUUCAAAUGUAACAUUCUGCUUGGAGCACUAACCAACCUUGUUUCACAAACAGCUUGUGAACAAACAAAAAAGGGCACAUUACACUAAACAUUACAGAUAGAUACAAGUAAUGUUAUGACUGAUAAGCUCUCAUGGGCUAAUUUGACCUUGGUGCUCUUAAUUAUCUGUUCAUUAUCCUGGUCAGUCUUUGCUGAAUUGAUAGCAAUGUUUGCACCUGCCUUUUAUUUAACCAAAGCUAAUCAUUUCAGCAAUGUUGUGUAUCCAACAACUACUCUCCUAACUAGAGGAAACUGUAACGAUGCAUUUAGGACCUUUAGUCUGGAAAAACAUCCAGGACUAGGAAUGGAAGAAUCUGACAUUUUUUGUUCUUUCAAUUUCACAUUCCUUCCAUCUUAAAUUAAGUUCUCCACAUUUCUGCAGCAAUCUGCAGAUUACAAAAACAACAACCAUCAUUAAAAUUUGUCAGCAUUUUACUGUGAAUUCCACUCUUGGUGUCACUCCUGGUUUGGAAAGCACU